rnacentral:rRNA from 1 species
UACGUAGGGUGCAAGCGUUGUCCGGAAUUAUUGGGCGUAAAGAGCUCGUAGGCGGCUUGUCGCGUCGGCUGUGAAAACCUGGGGCUCAACCCCGGGCCUGCAGCCGAUACGGGCAAGCUAGAAUUCGGUAGGGGAGACUGGAAUUCCUGGUGUAGCGGUGAAAUGCGCAGAUAUCAGGAGGAACACCGGUGGCGAAGGCGGGUCUCUGGGCAGUAACUGACGCUGAGUAGCGAAAGCGUGGUGAGCGAACAGG